CGGGGAAUUUGGACAAUGGGCGAAAGCCUGAUCCAGCAAUGCCGCGUGUGUGAAGAAGGCCUUCGGGUUGUAAAGCACUUUUGUCCGGAAAGAAAUCCUUGGCUCUAAUACAGUCGGGGGAUGACGGUACCGGAAGAAUAAGCACCGGCUAACUACGUGCCAGCAGCCGCGGUAAUACGUAGGGUGCAAGCGUUAAUCGGAAUUACUGGGCGUAAAGCGUGCGCAGGCGGUUUGCUAAGACCGAUGUGAAAUCCCCGGGCUCAACCUGGGAACUGCAUUGGUGACUGGCAGGCUAGAGUAUGGCAGAGGGGGGUAGAAUUCCACGUGUAGCAGUGAAAUGCGUAGAGAUGUGGAGGAAUACCGAUGGCGAAGGCAGCCCCCUGGGCCAAUACUGACGCUCAUGCACGAAAGCGUGGGGAGCAAACAGGAUUAGAUACCCUGGUAGUCCACGCCCUAAACGAUGUCAACUAGUUGUUGGGGAUUCAUUCCUUAGUAACGUAGCUAACGCGUGAAGUUGACCGCCUGGGGAGUACGGUCGCAAGAUUAAAACUCAAAGGAAUUGAC
rnacentral:rRNA from 1 species